CACGUAGGGUGCGAGCGUUGUCCGGAAUUACUGGGCGUAAAGAGCUCGUAGGCGGUCCGGUAAGUCAGGUGUGAAAUCUCCACGCUCAACGUGGAGGCGCCACCUGAAACUGCCGUGACUCGAGUCCGGUAGGGGAGUGUGGAAUUCCUGGUGUAGCGGUGAAAUGCGCAGAUAUCAGGAGGAACACCAGUGGCGAAGGCGGCUCUCUGGGACGGUACUGACGCUGAGACGCGAAAGCGUGGGGAGCGAACAGG
rnacentral:rRNA from 1 species